AUACAGAGGGUGCGAGCGUUAAUCGGAAUUACUGGGCGUAAAGCGCGCGUAGGCGGUUAUUUAAGUCAGAUGUGAAAUCCCUGGGCUCAACCUAGGAACUGCAUCUGAAACUGGGUAACUAGAGUUUAGGAGAUGGGAGUAGAAUUUCGGGUGUAGCGGUGAAAUGCAUAGAGAUCCGAAGGAAUACCAGUGGCGAAGGCGACUCCCUGGCCUAGAACUGACGCUGAGGUGCGAAAGCGUGGGUAGCAAACGGGAUUAGAUACCCUAGUAGUCC
rnacentral:rRNA from 1 species